UGCACAACAGAGCGAGCCAGCU
rnacentral:miRNA from 1 species